rnacentral:rRNA from 1 species
GCGGAGAGCAUUGUGGUUAAUUCGAUGAUACGCGAGGAACCUUACCUGGGCUCGAACGUAAGAUGACUGUAGUGAAAGCUUACAUCUCUUCGGAGCAUUUUACGAGGUGCUGCAUGGUUGUCGUCAGCUCGUGCCGUGAGGUGUCGGGUUAAGUCCCAUAACGAGCGCAACCCCUACCUUUAGUUGCCAUCAGGUUAAGCUGGGGACUCUAAAGGAACUGCCUACGCAAGUAGUGAGGAAGGCGGGGAUGACGUCAAAUCAGCACGGCCCUUACGUCCAGGGCUACACACGUGCUACAAUGGCCGAUACAGAGGGCAGCUACCUGGUGACAGGAUGCAAAUCUCCAAAGUCGGUCUCAGUUCGGAUCGGAGUCUGCAACCCGACUCCGUGAAGUUGGAUUCGCUAGUAAUCGCGCAUCAGCCAUGGCGCGGUGAAUACGUUCCCGGGCCUU